rnacentral:rRNA from 1 species
GAUGAACGCUGGCGGCGUGCCUGAUACAUGCAAGUCGAGCGAACGGACGAGAAGCUUGCUUCUCUGAUGUUAGCGGCGGACGGGUGAGUAACACGUGGAUAACCUACCUAUAAGACUGGGAUAACUUCGGGAAACCGGAGCUAAUACCGGAUAAUAUUUUGAACCUCAUGGUUCAAAAGUGAAAGACGGUCUUGCUGUCACUUAUAGAUGGAUCCGCGCUGCAUUAGCUAGUUGGUAAGGUAACGGCUUACCAAGGCAACGAUGCAUAGCCGACCUGAGAGGGUGAUCGGCCACACUGGAACUGAGACACGGUCCAGACUCCUACGGGAGGCAGCAGUAGGGAAUCUUCCGCAAUGGGCGAAAGCCUGACGGAGCAACGCCGCGUGAGUGAUGAAGGUCUUCGGAUCGUAAAACUCUGUUAUUAGGGAAGAACAUAUGUGUAAGUAACUGUGCACAUCUUGACGGUACCUAAUCAGAAAGCCACGGCUAACUACGUG